rnacentral:rRNA from 1 species
GCUCAGUAACACGUGGAUWACCUACCCUUAGGACCSGGAUWACCCUGGGAAACKGGGGCUAWUACUGGAUAGAUGAUUUUUCCUGAAUGGUUUUUUGUUUAAAUGUUUUUUCGCCUAAGGAUGGGUCUGCGGCAGAUUAGGUAGUUGGCUAGGUAAUGGCUUCCCAAGCCUAUGAUCUGUACGGGUUGUGAGAGCAAGAGCCCGGAGAUGGAACCCGAGACAAGGUUCCAGGCCCYUACGGGGCGCAGCAGGCGCGAAACCUCCGCAAUGUGAGAAAUCGCGACGGGGGGAUCCCAAGUGCCAUUCUUAACGGGAUGGCUUUUCUUAAGUGWAAAAARCWUUUGGAAUAAGAGCUGGGCAAGACCGGUGCCAGCCGCCGCGGUAACACCGGCAGCUCUAGUGGUAGCUGUUUUUAUUGGGCCUAAAGCGUUCGUAGCCGGUUUGAUAAGUCACUGGUGAAAUCCUGUAGCUUAACUGUGGGAAUUGCUGGUGAUACUGUUGAACUUGAGGUCGGGAGAGGUUAGCGGUACUCCCAGGGUAGAGGUGAAAUUCUGUAAUCCUGGGAGGACCACCUGUGGCGAAGGCGGCUAACUGGAACGAACCUGACGGUGAGGGACGAAAGCUAGGGGCGCGMCYUCSGUUUUUAUACCCGGGUAGUCCUAGCCGUAAACGAUGCGGAGCCCUUUCCAUGGCUUUGAGCCGCUCCGGUGCCGAAGGGAAGCUGUUAAGUCCGCCGCCCUGGGAA